ACCUGGUUGAUCCUGCCAGUGAAACAUGCUAUUCUCAAAGACUAAGCCAUGCACGUGCCAAGUUCAUACGAUCUUAUCGUGAGACUGCGGACGGCUCAGUAUAUCAGUGAUUAUCUGUUUGAUUGUCUUACCCAUUGGAUAACCGUGGGAAAUCUAGAGCUAAUACAUGCAAUUUAUUGGCGCAGUCGCAAGAUUGUGUCAAAGCAUUUAUUAGACUUAACCAUCUACUAUGCUUCACGGCGUAGUAAGGCGAAUCUAGAUAACUUUGCUGAUCGUAUGGCCUCGUGCCGACGACGUUUCAAUUGAGUUUCUGCCCUAUCAAUUUGUUGGUAAGGUAUUGGCUUACCAAGGUUGCAACGGGUAACGGGGAAUCAGGGUUCGAUUCCGGAGAGGGAGCCUGAGAAACGGCUACCACAUCCAAGGAAGGCAGCAGGCGCGCAAAUUACCCAAUCUAGACAGUAGGAGGUGGUGAAGAGAAGUACUUAGUGGUGGCCUAAUGGUCCCAACUAGGAAUGAACGUAAUUUAAGCAAUUCGAUGAGUAACUACUGGAGGGCAAGUCCUGGUGCCAGCAGCCGCGGUAAUUCCAGCUCCAGUGGCGUGAUUUAAAGUUGCUGCGUUUAAAACGCUCGUAGUUGGAUCACGCAGUAGCACACAGUAACAAAAACCGGUACUUUUGACGAUUUUCUUUCCGAGAUUAUUGAAUUUUGUCUGGUUUGCGUGUUCACGCUGUGCGUUACUAUUUGCACACAAGUAUGGUAUUUGGCCUUUAGUGAGUCGAGUAUCAUGUCUUGUGGGGUGUGCCUUGAAUAAAACAGAGUGCUCAAAGCAGGCGAACGCUUGAAUGUUAUAGCAUGGAACGAACAAACGUGUAUUUGCGUAUACUUGAAUGGUCGAGGGCAACUUUGGCCGUUUGGGAGUACGCAGCACCCGCCAAAAUACGGAUGUUGGUUUUCGUAUCAGGUGAUGAUUAACAGGAGCGGUUGGGGGCAUUGGUAUUUGGCCGCGAGAGGUGAAAUUCUUGGACCGGCCAAGGACUAACAGAUGCGAAGGCGUUUGUCUAGACCGUUUCCAUUAAUCAAGAACGAAAGUGGGAGGUUCGAAGACGAUCAGAUACCGUCCUAGUUCCCACUAUAAACUAUGCCGACCUGGGAUCAGUUUAGUGAUUUACAAGCUCUAGGUUGGUCCCCCUGGGAAACCUCAAGUUUUUCGGUUACGGGGAGAGUAUGGUCGCAAGUCUGAAACUUAAAGGAAUUGACGGAAGGGCACCACCAGGGGUGGAGCCUGCGGCUUAAUUUGACUCAACACGGGGAAACUUACCUGGUCCGGACAUCGAAAGGAUAGACAGACUGAUAGAUCUUUCUUGAUGCGGUGAGUGGUGGUGCAUGGCCGUUCUUAGUUCGUGGAGUGAUCUGUCAGGUUUAUUCCGGUAACGAACGAGACCACUUUCUCCAUUUAAGAAACAGUAGCAGGGAGUCGGCUCAAGGCUGUUUCGGCAGCUUUGGGUUGGUUUUCGCAGGUAGAGUUGUUAAAUUUCGUGGGUGGAUGCGGAGGGGCAACCUGACGUGUUCAUUUGCGAAAGGAGAUGAUUUUCCCUACUGUUAUGCAGCGUUGGGCAAUACCUUCACGCUGCCUUAUGGAGAGACAACAGGUUUAUAAAAGCCUGAGGAAGUGUGGCUAUAACAGGUCAGUGAUGCCCUUCGAUGUUCAGGGCUGCACGCGCGCUACAAUGAUAACAGCAACGAGUAUCUGGGUCGAAAGACUUGGGUAAUCUUUAAUUGUUAUCGUGAUGGGGAUUGACGAUUGUAAAUUCGUCAUGAAAUAGGAAUCCCUAGUAUGUGUAAUUUAUUAAAUUGCACAGAUUUAGUCCCUGCCCUUUGUACACACCGCCCGUCGCUACUACCGAGUGAAUUAUGUCAUGAUGCGCUGGGACUGGACAUUGAACGGGCGUCAAAACUUGUUCGAUGCUAGAAUCAGCGUAAAAUGGCGCAAUUUCGAGGAAGUAAAAGUCGUAACAAGGCCUCCGUAGGUGAACCUGCGGAGG
rnacentral:rRNA from 1 species